rnacentral:rRNA from 1 species
CCUACGGGGGGCUGCAGUGGGGAAUAUUGGACAAUGGGGGGAACCCUGAUCCAGCCAUGCCGCGUGUGUGAAGAAGGCCCUCGGGUUGUAAAGCACUUUCAGUGAGGAAGAACGCCUGGUGGUUAAUACCCAUCAGGAAAGACAUCACUCACAGAAGAAGCACCGGCUAACUCCGUGCCAGCAGCCGCGGUAAUACGGAGGGUGCGAGCGUUAAUCGGAAUUACUGGGCGUAAAGCGCGCGUAGGUGGCUUGAUAAGCCGGUUGUGAAAGCCCCGGGCUCAACCUGGGAACGGCAUCCGGAACUGUCAAGCUAGAGUGCAGGAGAGGAAGGUAGAAUUCCCGGUGUAGCGGUGAAAUGCGUAGAGAUCGGGAGGAAUACCAGUGGCGAAGGCGGCCUUCUGGACUGUAACUGACACUGAGGUGCGAAAGCGUGGGUAGCAAACAGGAUUAGAUACCCGGGUAGUC